GGAAAUAACAUGGCCAAAUAGGGAAGGAAACACAUUAUAAACAUAGCACUUUGUGCUCAUAUCACUUUCGUCUUCCGAUUUCAUAUUCUAGAUCUAAAUCUAGAUGAGUGAAGAGAGAGAGUGGGGGAGGAUCACCGGACCACCCACAUCAGUACCUCCUCGUCACCACCUUCCUAUUACGAGCCCCGAAUCCCACAUACAAUCACUCUAGGAUGAGAUCGAUGGAGGAGAACCCGAGGAGGACGACAGUAUUUACCAGCGUGUUCCUCCGUUUUCCAGCCACGAUUCAGCUUGCAUGUGCCUUUUUUUUCCCAACGCCGGCGUUGAUUUCCCUCCAAGACUCGAGAGACCUUUGUUGAUGAGCUUUCGAUUUCGACUUCAGGAACUCGGAGACUGACUUGGAGCUCGUCAGAGGUAGAAGAGAGCAACUGCUCUAGGGUUCCAGUUUUGGAGUUUGAAGAUAUUUGGCUUAUGUGGUCGCUGAAUUUGCAACAAUGGCUUCUGGGAAUUUUGCAGCCGGAAUCGUCUACUGUAAAUUAGGACAAAGAGCUUAAUUGACAAAAGAAGGCCUAAGUAGUACAAGGAUGGAAGAGAAAAAUGCAGAAAGCCCAAGUCCAAAAAGGAAAGAGAAAAGUCAAACAUUUCUCCUAGUCCCACAUCAGUUUAGAAGAAGAAGUAAAUUUGGAUUUGAAGUCUAAAAAGGGCAGGAGAAAAGUAAAACUUGUGAAGCUAGUCCCACAUCAUUUUUGAAGAGAAGUUUCACCAAGAUUUUCUCUAUAUAAACACAGCCUUGUGUACUUCUCAGCCCAUCUCUUCUUCACACAAAAAUUAGUGAAACACAUUAGCCUUCCUUCUCCUUAUCAACUCCUCUCUCCAGAAAAAAAGCAAUGCAAGCUGGCACAUUUGUAGGACUUCUCCAGAAGGCUGCCGAGAAGCAUCAGGCCUGUGUGUUCCUUUGAACAUCUCAAGCUUCCUUGAAGAUUUAUAGUGUAACUCAUGUCUUGUUUCUUCUUUCUUGUUAUUGUUAUUUGUCUUCUUUUAUUAGAUUUCAAAGUUGGAAUUGGCUGGUUGUUAAGAACAUGAAUAGGUUAAUUUCAGAAUAAAUUUAAGC